UACGGAGGGUGCAAGCGUUAUCCGGAUUCACUGGGUUUAAGGGGUGCGUAGGAGGGCAGGUAAGUCAGUGGUGAAAUCUUCGAGCUUAACUCGGAAACUGCCGUUGAUACUAUCUGUCUUGAAUAUUGUGGAGGUGAGCGGAAUAUGUCAUGUAGCGGUGAAAUGCUUAGAUAUGACAUAGAACACCAAUUGCGAAGGCAGCUCGCUACACAUAUAUUGACUCUGAGGCACGAAAGCGUGGGGAUCAAACAGG
rnacentral:rRNA from 1 species